GCUCCAAGCCGCGUGGAAGCUUUGAAGCGUGUGGGUUACGGGCUGCCCCUUUGGUUGACGGUGAAGAGGCGGCACUCGGUUCGUCGCCGUAAGCUGCGCCGUUCCUCGCACAGCAGCGGGAUCGCGUCCAGCGCUCGGCAUCGGUAUGUUCCAAAGCCUUUGCAAAAGGUCUGUGAGAGGAAAAGCUCAUUAGUGUGCUUGAACUUCUAAAGAAAUGAAAGGUAGAGUGAGCAGUAAGAUGAAAAAGCAUCCAGAAGGAGGGAAUGUUACCCCGUGCAUGAAACCCUGUUUCAAAGGAUUUUCAUCAGUACCAUAUUUUGGAAGGUCAGGCAGCGACAGCAAUGAACACGUGACAGCCAAAAAUUAAAAGGCAACACAGCUACCUGUUUGAAAGUAGCCUUUUCAUCAUUUCAGCACUCACUCACCUUCUCCCAAUUUGCUUCAUCUGCUUAUCGCUUCACGUGAACUUUGUCUCAUGAAAAGAUAAGAAAAAGAUUAUGCAUCAAAAGAUUCCGCUGACUCCUUAUUCUGACGCUCUGCAAGGAAAGCGGUAUAAAAAUGUUAUCUGUACAAGGUGAAUUUCCCCUUGCUUUUCACUGCCUGAUUUCAAAAAUAUUAGAUUUAUAAUAUUUCUGUUGAUGUUGCCCUUUUCAGCUUGUUGGUUUUUUUUUUUAAAUAUCUUUGAACAUGUUACAGUUUCCUAGAAUUUCUAGUUCCAGAAUAACCUAGAUCAUUAGGAAAAAUAAAUUGCUAGUGUUACUUUAAGUGCGUCCUUAUCAAUCAGAAACACAGCUCAGCAUUGGACUGUCAUAUCCAGUUUUACAGCAGCAAUGUACAUCAAAAGUGAGCUUGCUCUGAUGUUAUAAAAAGUUUUUAGGAGAGAAAGAAGUCACAGUUCCUUGGGAUAUUUAUAGUAUUUAAGAAUGCUUUUAAGUAACUUGUAAUGGCAGAUGCCAUUGGGUACUCUGUCAUAAGUGGUUUUCUUAUUCAUAACAAGUAAUGCAUAUUAUGGUAUGUUUCAAGCU